rnacentral:rRNA from 1 species
UACAGAGGUGGCAAGCGUUGUUCGGAAUUACUGGGCGUAAAGGGCGCGUAGGCGGCCUUCUAAGUCAGACGUGAAAUCCCCCGGCUUAACCUGGGAACUGCGUCUGAUACUGGGAGGCUUGAGUAUGGGAGAGGGAUGUAGAAUUCCAGGUGUAGCGGUGAAAUGCGUAGAUAUCUGGAGGAACACCGGUGGCGAAGGCGGUGAUCUGGGCCAGUACUGACGCUGAGGAGCGAAAGCGUGGGUAGCAAACAGG